rnacentral:tRNA from 2 species
GCCCAGGUAGCUCAGUUGGUAGAGCAGCGGACUGAAAAUCCGCGUGUCGGUGGUUCGACUCCGCCCCUGGGCA